ACCGCUCGUGAGGGCGCGGCCCCGGACCGCGCUCGGGCCCUGAUCGGGCUCGGCGGCGGCGGCCGGGGCAGAGGGGGGAGGUGGAAGCCGCUGCCCGGCAGGCACCGCCGCCGGGAAGGGCCGUGUCGCGUCGCCACCGGGUCAUGCGGGGAACGGAGGUGGGGGGAACACGAUAACACUACACUACGAGACUUAUUUAUUGAAAUAUAUUUUCUGGAAUGAAGUAGAAAGCAACAUAGAAAAAGCAUAAUUAUUUAUAAGUAAUGACAGUUCAAUUAUCUUUGGAUGCAUAUUUGGUCUUUUUUAUUAACCCAAAAAAUCUUUGGUGGAAACAAAGAAACAAAUAUCUGUGUUUGCAUAGACCUAAAGUCUGCUGGAGGAUAAAUCAUGCCACACACCUGAGAGUUUUGCAUACAAGCGAGCCUCGGUGUAAAUGGGCCAGAAGCAGAACAUUUUGGUAUAGCAAAUAUAUUUACAGUCAUGAGUUUUUAUACUGUAGAAUUUCUAAACUUCUAACUUCUUCUUCCAAAGGACUUACAAAGGUGAGCAUUCGCAUGUCACGAAUUAAGAAUACUAUAGAAUCUGUUUCAAAGGCUGUGUCUGGCACUCACAGUGAACUGGUGUCACGAAUAGCUCGAUUAAAGUCACACUCAGGUACUUUGGGAAAAGCAAAUAAAAGUAGUGCAGGUGUAAGUAACAUCAAUGCAAAUCUAGGCAAUGAUAAAAAAGUCACAGAUGCCAGGACUCAGGAGGAUUGCAACAGAGGCCCAUCUGCAAAGAAAUCCACUUGUGCAAGUGAAAACUUGGAAUCUGUGUUAGUAAGUUCAAGUGGUACUUGUCAAGAUACUCCAGAAGUUUCAGCAUCUACUAAAAACCACCUUUUUCAUAUAAGCUACUUUUCUACAAAUUUUGGAGAGACUUACAACUUCAUAGCUGAUCAUAUCAACUCUUACUUUAGUAAUUCUGUUAUGGAACAAGAGAAAAAAAGGAAUGCUUCAUUACAGGACUCUAAAAGUGAAGAGAGGAAUAAGCUUGAUUCAUCAGAAAAUACUGUAACGGGUGAAAAAAAGACAGUGGAUUCAGCAGCUACUUUAGCUCCUGAAGCAGAGACUCUGGGUGCUGAAAAGACAAAUACUGCCCUUCCAGUUUCCACUAAAAAAAGUAUUGCAAACUUUCUCUCGUAUCCCAGUAACAGCGUACAAGCUUUUGUAGACAGCUAUAUUGGGGGGCUGGUUCCCAAGUUAAGAUCCGAAUCAAAAGUUGUUUCACCAGAAAAGAGUAAACAGCCAGAACACGAAGUGUCUGAGAAGCCUGAUGAGGACAAAUCAAAAGAGGCCAAGACUGCAGAAGAGAGGGAAAAGCAUCUGUCUCUUCAGAGAGAAAAGAUUAUUGCAAGAGUGAGUAUUGAUAACAGGACUCGAGCUUUAGUUCAAGCCCUACGAAGAUCCACUAAUCGGAGAGUCUGUAUCAGCAGGGUUGAAGAACUGACCUAUCAUCUUCUAGAAUUUCCAGAGAGCAGAGGAGUUGCAAUUAAGGAAAAAGUAAUCCCAUGCCUGCUGCGACUGAGACAGGCUAAUGAUGAAAGUCUUCAGGCUGCUGUUAGAGAAACUUUAGCUCUGAUUGGAUAUACCGACCCUGUGAAAGGCUGGGGAAUUAGAGUCCUCACUAUUGAUGGAGGAGGAACAAGGGGCUUAGUUGCACUUCAGACUCUUCGGAAACUAGAAGAACUAACUGGAAAGCCAGUUUAUCAACUUUUUGACUACAUCUGUGGUGUAAGCACAGGAGCUAUAUUAGCUUUUAUGUUGGGGUUGUUCCAUAUCCCUCUGGAUGAUUGUGAAGAACUGUACCACAAAUUAGGAUCAGAUGUUUUUAAGCAGAAUGUCAUUGUUGGAACAGUCAAAAUGGGUUGGAGCCACGCCUUUUAUGACAGUGAUAUAUGGGAAAAAAUGCUCAAAGAAAAAAUGGGCUCGAAUCUUAUGAUUGAAACUGCAAGAAAGUCCAAAUGUCCAAAGGUAGCUGCAGUAAGCACCAUUGUAAACAGAGGAACACCACUGAAAGCAUUUGUGUUUAGAAACUACAACCACUUUCCUGGUGUUAAGUCCCAUUAUAUUGGAGGCUGUCAGUAUAAGCUGUGGCAGGCCAUUAGAGCGUCAUCUGCUGCACCAGGUUACUUCCAGGAAUAUGUUUUGGGCAGCGAUCUUCAUCAGAGUAGCAUUUGUUCCUGGUAGUAUUGAGCUGAAUUACGAUCUUCAGAUAACUUAGAGAGACUUCACGUUCCCUGGUCUGGUCCUCAGGAGGCCUUGAAUCAUUCUGAGACCUUAUGAAAGGACAAUACAGAAGAGCUCAAGCCACCAAGGAGAUUUCUCAAGUGCAUUGAUGACAGCAACUGUUACAGUUGAUGGAGGAACCAACAAGGAAAGGUGCUUUGCUGGACCUGUUGCCUACAAAGAAUAAAGAACUGGUCAAGGCUGUGAAAGUUUGAGAAAGCCUUGGCUACAGUGACCAUGAGAGGAUGGAGUUUGGGAUCCUAAGAGAAGGGAGCAGGGAAAAAAGCAGGACUACAGCACUGCAUUUCAGGAGAGCAGACUUCAUCCUCUUCAGAGCUCUGCUUGGAAGGAUCCCAUGGACUACGAGCUUAAAGAGAGAAGGGGUCCAGGAGAUCUGGCUGAUACUCAGUGAUCACUUCUCCAAAGUCAGGAAAGGACCACCCCAACCAGUAUGAAAUCGAGCAAAGGUGGCAGGCAGGGACAAGCAAGGAGGUCCUAACUGAACUCCAGCAUAAAAAGGAAGUGUACAAAAGGUGGAACUGGGGCAAGUGACCCAGGAGGGGUAUAGAUCUCCUGACCAGUCUUGCAGAGAUAGGGCUAGAAAAACAAGGACUAGCCUGGAGGGCAAUGUGAAGAGCAACAGCAAAGGAUUCUACAAGUACAUACACAGCAGAAGAAAAACUAGGGAAAAUGUGGGCCUGCUACUGAAUGGGGCAACACAACUUGUGACAAGUGAUGUGGAAAAGUCUAAGAUGCUUUAAUGCUGCCUUUGUCUCAGUCUUUGCCAGUAAAAAUGGCUUUGAGGAAUCCCCAGACCCCUGAAGCAAGAGGGAAAGUGGUGCAAGGAGGACUUGCACUUGGUGGAGGAGAACCCUAUUAGGGAGCAGUUAAAUGAACUGGUCAUACAUAAAUUCAUAAGCCUGAUGGGUUGCACCCGUGAGUGCUGAUGGAACUGGCUCAUGCCAUUGCGGGAUGACUCUUGAUUAUCUUUAAAUGGUCAUGGUAAUUGGGAGUGCAGAUAUUAUUCAUGUCUUCAGGAACAGCAAGAAGAAAGCUCUGGGGAACUACAGGCUAGUUGGCUUCAGCCCAAUCCCUUAGGAGGUAAUGGGGGAAAUCCUCCUGAAAAGGACUUCUAAAGUCAUAAGGACAAAAAGGUGAUAAUGAGUAGUCAGCAUGGAUUUACAAAGUGGUUUACCUGUGAUUUACCAACCUGGUAGCCUUCUGCAAUUAGUGGACAAGUGGAAAGCAUCGGAUGUUGUAUACAACAACUUUGGUAAAGCCUUUGACAUUUACCUCCCAUAAGGUAUAGUAGUAUGGCCAGUCUUUGCAAACGAAGAUUUGGGAAAGGUCAUUACCCUUCGAGCCUGCGCAGUGGAUUUUUUAGGUGAGACACAGUGUGCGCUGAACUGAGCCCACCCUUUAAUCCUGAGGUUCAACUGCCGGGGCCGAGCGAAGCUCGGACGGUGGCAGCGAGGUCCUCAGGACGUAGGUUUGUUUAGAGUGACCUUCUCUUAGAUGGAUGGCCUUACAGGGCUGACGAGCUCCAUCUGCCCGGAGGGGUUCCCUGACUGGGAAUCGAACCCCGGGCCGCAGCGGUGAGAGCGCCGCAUCCUAACCACUAGACCACCAGGGAACCCUCCUCCCAUAAAGUGGGGAUUAGAUAAAUAGACAGUGAGGUGGAUGCAAGCUAGCUGAAUGACCAGGACCCAGAGAUUGGGAUCAGUACCACAAAGUCAAGUUGGAAGCAAGUCACUAGAGGUGUUCCUAGGGGUCAUUACUGGAGCAAAUUCUAUUUAACAUCUUCAUUAGUGAACUGGAUGAUCAGACAGAGUGCACCUUCAGGAAUUCCAUGGAUGAUACAAACAUGAGAGGAAGGGCUGAUACAUGAAUGGUUGGACCACCACUCAAAUGGACCUCAACAGGCUGGAGAAUUCUCAUGAAGUUCAAAAAGAGGAAUGGCAGAGUCCUGCCUCUGUGGAGGAAUAACCCCAUGCACAAACCCACACUGAGUUGUAAAGCAGCUUGGCAGAGAAGGACCUUGGGGUGCUGAUGGACAAGAAGCUGAACAUGAGCAAUGCACACUUGUGGUAAAGAAGGCCGACAGCAUCCUGGACUGCAUUAACAGCAGUGCUGCCAGUUGUCACAAGGGAUGGUCCUGCCCCUCUGCACUGCUGAGGCCACAGUUACCCAAUAUAAGAGAGACAUGAGCAUAUGGGAAUGAGUCCAGUGCAGAGCCUCAGAGAUCAUGAAAGGACUGGAGCAUCUCUCAUAUGAGAAACUGAGGCAGCUGAGAUUAUGCAGCCUAGAGAAGAGAAGGCUCGGGGGGAAUUUAUCCAUGUGUACAAAUAAAGGAUGGGAAGGAAUGAAGAUGAGGGAGCUGUGGUCUUCCCGGUAGUGCCCACUGGAUGGAGGUCUGCUUCUGAAUAAUCCUUCUGCACUGGCAGUUCAUGAGUGCAAGUGUCUUUGGCCAAAUGUUCCACUGCAGUGUUUGAUAUCGCUGGGCACUGG